AUUGAACGCUGGCGGCAUGCCUUACACAUGCAAGUCGAACGGUAACAGGUUAAGCUGCCGAGUGGCGAACGGGUGAGUAAUGUAUCGGAACGUGCCCAGUCGUGGGGUAUAACUGCUCGAAAGAGCAGCUAAUACCGCAUACGACCUGAGGGUGAAAGCGGGGGAUCGCAAGGCCUCGCGCGAUUUGAGCGGCCGAUAUCAGAUUAGGUAGUUGGUGAGGUAAAGGCUCACCAAGCCGACGAUCUGUAGCUGGUCUGAGAGGACGACCAGCCACACUGGGACUGAGACACGGCCCAGACUCCUACGGGAGGCAGCAGUGGGGAAUGUUGGACAAUGGGCGCAAGCCUGAUCCAGCGAUGCCGCGUGCGGGAAGAAGGCCUUCGGGUUGUAAACCGCUUUUGUCAGGGAAGAAAAGGUUCUGGCUAAUACCUGGGACUCAUGACGGUACCUGAAGAAUAAGCACCGGCUAACUACGUG
rnacentral:rRNA from 1 species